AUCUACAUAUUUUAAUAAAAUAUUACAUUUUCAUUGUAAAGAUACCUGAAGGGUUGUAGAUA
rnacentral:tRNA from 1 species